UUAUUGACUUUAUUAAGUGAAGGCUUUUACUUUAUGUUGUCUCCUUUCAGGAAAAAUCCCGCAGGUAUCAUAAUUACAAGAUCACUGCAGUAUGGAAAGAAUGUGCUUUCAGAUUCCACCAGGUGGAAAUCAACGAUCUCCUCGAGGCCCGUGUAUUUCGACUCAAAAUAACUGUUUAUGUACGUCCUGGAAACCAGGACACUAACUUAGAGUGGCAGAUUGACUUUCAAUCAUUGCAAGAAGAGCACAGGGCUGGGAGACAUGAUACGGCGGCAAUUUUUGAGGAGAUCACAAAGACCUCGACGCAUUAUCUCUUUAGUAACGUCCGCUCAGAGCGGACGAUACUCCCUGGGUCUAUGAUUUGUGUCCUCCUGGGUGUAGAACCUGUUUACAGACUCCUGCUAUCCUUCCUGUUGCCAGAGGAACAUUAUAUCAUAGAGAAAAAUGUCUUCUCCACUGAAGCAGAUGCGGCCGCAGGCCCAUUGCAGCUUGAUUUCGCCUCGGCACCAGACAAAAUGGAUGCCUAUCCAACGACGACAAGUUGGCUAGU